UCCACUUUCUAAGGGUUGGCCUGAAGACCU
rnacentral:piRNA from 1 species